UACGAAGGGGGCUAGCGUUGCUCGGAAUGACUGGGCGUAAAGGGCGCGUAGGCGGUUUGUACAGUCAGGUGUGAAAUUCCCGGGCUCAACCUGGGGGCUGCACUUGAUACGUAUGGACUGGAGUGGGGAAGAGGGUCGUGGAAUUCCCAGUGUAGAGGUGAAAUUCGUAGAUAUUGGGAAGAACACCAGUGGCGAAGGCGGCUAACUGGUCCAGAUCUGACGCUGAGGUGCGAAAGCGUGGGGAGCAAACAGG
rnacentral:rRNA from 1 species